rnacentral:rRNA from 1 species
UUCUGGCUCAGGAUGAACGCUGGCGGCGUGCUUAACACAUGCAAGUCGAACGGAGUACAUCAACCGAGACCUUCGGGUCUCAUCUGUUGUACUUAGUGGCGGACGGGUGAGUAACGCGUGAGCAACCAACCUUAUGCAGAGGGAUAACAAUUAGAAAUGAUUGCUAAUACCGCAUAAGACCACAGCACCGCAUGAUGCAGUGGGAAAAACUCCGGUGGCAUAAGACGGGCUCGCGUUCGAUUAGCUAGUUGGUGGGGUAACGGCUCACCAAGGCAACGAUCGAUAGCCGGACUGUGAGGUCGACCGGCCACAUUGGGACUGAGACACGGUCCAGACUCCUACGGGAGGCAGCAGUGGGGAAUAUUGCACAAUGGGGGAAACCCUGAUGCCAGCGACGCCGCGUGAGUGAUGAAGUAUUUCGGUAUGUAAAGCUCUUUUAGUAGGGAAGAAGAUGACGGUACCUACAGAAACAGCCCCGGCUAACUACGUGCCAGCCGCAGC